UCUCUACUUGCGUAGGCAGUCUCACUAGAGUCCCCAACUGAAUGAUGGCAACUAGUGACAGGGGUUGCGCUCGUUGCAGGACUUAACCUAACACCUCACGGCACGAGCCGACGACAGCCAUGCAGCACCUUCUCACCGGUUCCCUUGCGGGCACCUCUACAUCUCUGCGGAGUUCCGGUGGAUUUAACCCAGGUAAGGUUCUGCGCGUUGCGUCGAAUUGAACCACAUGCUCCACCGCUUGUGCGGGCCCCCGUCAAUUCCUUUGAGUUUUAGCCUCGCGGCCGUACUCCCCAGGCGGGGUGCUUAAUGCGUUAGCUUCGGCACGGACGGGGUUGAUAUCCGCCCACACCUAGCACCCAACGUUUACGGCUAGGACUAC
rnacentral:misc_RNA from 1 species